rnacentral:lncRNA from 1 species
UAUGCCAAGCCUGCAACUCAAAAACUAUGAUUCAGAAUGAAGUUUUUAAACCCAAGCAACCUUCAAGAAGCCUACCCAAUGACCAAAAAAAGAUGAAUGACUUUAUCAGUUUAGUCUCAGGUCUUUGUGUCUUUGUGGAGCUCUGAGGCAUUCCUGUCUUCUCGAAACAUCCUUGAAUCCUCUGAGAAAGUUCCCCUUUGUCCUUAAGCUGGCUCAGGUAUGUUGCUGUCCCUUGCAUUCAAAACGGGCUUGACAGUGACUUUGAGCACUAA